UGCCAACAAAUUAUUAAUAUAUUAAUAUAUCCCCACAUUUGUAAGCUUCUACUAAAUUCUCCAAGAACCUGCAUAUCAGUUAAGUCCUGAAAUGCUCCAGUGCCAAAUAAAAGCCCACUGUGCAGAUAGAAAUGCCUUUGGAAACUCUCAAACAUUCAUUCAAAAGUAUUUAGUGGGUAUCUGUCAGCUGUAUAUCCAGCACUGAGGGAAGACUCAGUCUCUGCCAUCACAUACACCUCAGCACUAAGAAGAGACACAUGAAAUAAUUACCAUCCAGUGUGAUAAGUGCUCUGACAGAGGAUGGAGAGAGGACUAGCCACCUUGGGGAAGAUAGAGAAGCAGGGUCCCAUCAGGAGACGAGGAGAAACCAGCCUCCAGGAGUGUGCUAUCUGAGAGUACAAGAUAAGGAAGGCGAAGAAGACAGGUCCAUACUUGAACACUUGAAGUAGGUAUAUCUAGUGCCUAAGAGUGUGUAUGGUGACAUCUUGUGGAGCAGCGAUCAUGACCCUCAUUUGGUUUGUUAAACCAUUGGGUCAAAUGCCAUGGGAAUGUAACAUGUAAAUGGUCUUUGCCUUAUAACACAGGGUAUCCCAUCCAUGUAAGAGUGAAUUUUUAAAAAGGCAAAACCAAACCUUUGGUUUACAGAAUUUGCUCCAUUUGCCUUAAAUAGUUUUAGCACACAAAUUCUUCCUUGCUUGGGGCCAUUAUGGUGUGUGGAAGCAGAAAAAGAUAAACUGUAGCUUACAGAAAUAGAAAAGCAAUUUUGUCUGAUGAUACAGACAUAAGGAUAUAAACAACAAACAGGUAACACAUAAUAAGUUCCAAAUGAGGCAUUUUGUUGAAAUUCAGUGUUAAGCAUAAAAAGUGAACUCAAAUGCACAAAGGAGGCCUCAUGGAAGGGUGACAAAACACAGAGCAGAUAACAGCCACCCUAUUUUCUGUUCCCUGGGAGUGGGGAGAAAAGACAUCAAAAUCGAAUUAUAAAUUUUAAAAAGUAUUAAAAUUAUCUUAUGGAAAUAUGAUAUUAAGAAGUUUGUUAGACAAAUGGAAAACGUUUUGUGGAAACAAGAAAUAAGAAAGAAUGGCCAUCACUUAAAGCAACAGAACGCAUCUCUCCCACUAGCUCUCCCCUCCCUACCCACAGCUUUAUUUACAUUUGUUCUAUAACAUUUCAGCACAGUUCAGACCUGCCGCUGAGCCAGUGUGAGGUCAGGGUGUUGAGGAAGUGAGUCCCCGCAGUCAGACUCCAGCUGGCUGUCAUCCUGCUUCUGCUUAUUCCACAUAAUCAGUCUGGUGGGGAAGAGGAAAUUCCUAACUUUUUUUUUUUUAACACAUCUUCAUCAGAAAAGUGAAAGCACUAAUUACUGUCCAUAAUAAAACUAUUGGGAAGGUAACUUAGCUUGUAAAUAAGUUCCACAAAGUCAUUUCAGUAAAAGCUUCCUGGUUCUAAAAUUGGGAAAAGCAGGAUAAUCCUCUAAGGCUGACAUUCUUUCUCUUUUGUGCAUUUACAACUAAACAGUCACUGAUAUACAUUUCCACAGCGACCCUGCAAUAUCCACACUGACUUUCUUCUAAGACACUUCAAAAAUCCAUCACACCUUUAUGUGUUAAAUAUCACUAUUGGCAUAUAUCUUUAAAAACAUUUAUUUUCUUAAUUCUCAAAAUACAGAAAAGAAUGUUAUGCUAUUUUGUGUGCAAACUGCUAUUUUCAAUAAGGAGCUCUUAAUUGAGAAAUAGUUGCUAUUUUUCAAUAAAGAACUCUCAAUUAGAAAUAUCAAGAAGUGAUGUUAAGUUUUUAUGGAAGUAAAUAAAAUAUCAUGACAUGAAAAGUUUAUAAUUUUUCCCCCAGCAAUGGCUUAUUCAGGGAAUUUUUCUUAUAUCUAAAGUUAAUGAUCUGAAAAGUGGUAAUCUUAUCACUCACCAAGAUUUCAGGAGGUAAGUUAUUCCUACAGAACAAUCCAUUUUUACCUUUAAAGAUGAGUUUGUGUACUUCAGAAGACGUGAGCCCAGUUGGCCACCAUCAAUCCCUUGUUAAUGAUGGAACUCAUGUGAAGUUAAGAGGAAACAUAAUACUCUUUAUCUCAUUCCCUGGUAGCAGAGAAGUUGACUCAUCUUUAACGUCAGUUACUGAGAUGUAACACAGAAUCAUAUUCUACAGAAAAUAUGUGAUAAACUUUACACAAAUAAAUACACUUUAGAAAGGCAGUCAUUUGGAUUUUCUUUUUGUCAGAGAACACUGCAAGUCUUCCUGAAGAAUCUCUGAGAAAUUAAACACUUUAUAUGACAUUUUAUAGCAUGUAGAGAGGUUGAAACUCAAGAGAACUAAAACUCAGAUGAUAGUCUAAAUACUUAAUUUGUUGCUGCUUUAUGCUGGACGUGAAAAGUGUGAGCUUAAAUUAUAAAUAAAAAACUACUGAACUAUCAAACUAUUUGGGGUACAUCCUUAUCUUUCCUCUAAAUUACUCUUUAUUCCCAUUAAAAUCUACCUAUCCCAGGUCCUCUCUCCUCAGCCCUUGAUCUCUGCUUUCAAAGAUGACUGACUAACCUAAUAAACACAUCUAAGGCGAUGUUGUCAACUUCAACCCAACCCUCUUUCCCCAGAUAACUGUCUGCAUUUCAAGAACAACCUACCAGAGACCUUACCUGUCACCUUGGCUCUCCCACCCAAUGGAGAUGGCUCUAAUGGUGGCACAAACCAGGAAGGGGAAAUCUGUGGUUUAAAUUCUUUAUGCCUCAUCCUCUGAGUGCUGAAGGCUUGCUGUAGGCUGUAUGCUGUUAAUGCUAAUCGUGAUAGGGGUUUUUACCUCCAACUGACUCCUACAUGUUAGCAUUAACAGGGUAUGAUGCCUGUUACUAGCAUUCACAUGGAACAAAUUGCUGCCGUGGGAGGAUGACAAAGAAGCAUGAGUCACCCUGCUGGAUAAACUUAGACUUCAGGCUUUAUCAUUUUUCAAUCUGUUAAUCAUAAUCUGGUCACUGGGAUGUUCAACCUUAAACUAAGUUUUAAAAGUAAGGUUAUUUAAAAGAUUUAUCAGUAGUAUCCUAAAUGCAAACAUUUUCAUUUAAAUAUCAAGCCCACGUUUGUUUUUAUCAUUAACAGAAAAUGUAUUCCUGUCAUUCUUAAUUGCAGGUUUUGACUUGUUCAAUAUAAUGUUCAUAAAUACCUUUGAUUCAACUGUUAGAAAUGUGGGCUAAACACUAAUUUCUAUAAUAUUUUUGUAGUUAAAAAUUAGAAGGACUACUAACCUCCAGUUAUAUCAUGGAUUGUCUGGCAACAUUUUUUAAAAUAUUUAGAAACUGGUACUUUCCCCCAUGUAACGAUUUUCUGUUUAGGCAACUUCAGUUUAGAAUUAAUACUUUCAUUUGACUCUUAAAGGGAAAUUGAAAGGCUAUGAAGCUGAAUUUUUUAAAUGAGAUAUUUUUAACAAGUAGCAGGGUAAAUAACAUCUGAGAGCUAGUGAGAUAUUGUUUCCAUACAAGAUACAAAGAUUUAAUUAAAAAACUCGUAUUUGAAAUGAAGUCCCAAAUCUAGGUUCAAGUUCAAUAGCUAAGCUACAUAAUAUGGUUGUGCAAGCAGAGAAUCUACCUUUCCACUUCUAAGCCUGUUUCUUCAUCCAUGAAAUGGGGAUAAUGCUUUACAAGGUUGUUGUGAGGUUUAGGUGGGAUAGAGAAUAUUCUGUAAGAUAAUCAAGUGCUCCAUCCAUGUUAUAGUUGGGUUAAUCCAAGAACUAGUCACCCUACUUUGUUAGAGAAGAGAAAAGCUAAUGAUUUAAUUUGCAGACUUUUUAAGGUUUGGGUUUCUAUGCAGUUUUUCUAAAUAACUAUAACUUACAAACAUGUAACCAAAUGUAAUUGUUAGUAUAUUUAAUGUAUACUUGUUUUAACAACUCUUCUCAACAUUUUGUCAAGUUUAUUCACUGUAACCAAAUAAAUCUCAUGAGUCUUUAGUUGAUUUAAAAUAA